rnacentral:rRNA from 1 species
GACGAACGCUGGCGGCGUGCCUAACACAUGCAAGUCGAGCGGAGGCGGAGGAGAGCCCAGCGAUGGGAAGGAGACUGCUUUAGCGGCGAACGGGUGAGUAACACGUGGGCAAUCUGCCCUCUGGAGCGGGAUAACAGACCGAAAGGCCUGCUAAUACCGCAUGAGGCCGUACUCUCGCAUGGGAGAACGGUCAAAGGGGAAACCCGCCGGAGGAGGAGCCCGCGUCCCAUUAGCUAGUUGGCGGUGUAACGGACCACCAAGGCGAUGAUGGGUAGCCGGCCUGAGAGGGUGAACGGCCACAUUGGGACUGAGACACGGCCCAGACUCCUACGGGGGGCAGCAGUGAGGGAUUUUCGGCAAUGGGCGAAAGCCUGACCGAGCGACGCCGCGUGAGCGAAGAAGGCCUUCGGGUCGUAAAGCUCUGUCUAGGGGGAAGAGAUAGGACGGUACCCCUGGAGGAAGCCACGGCUAACUACGUGCCAGCCGCCGCGGUAAUAC